UUGGAUUUUGUAUCUUCCUAUUUUGUUCUAUUUUGUCUUAAUUCCAGUUGGUCAAUUUAUCUUCAGUGUCUCAUUCUAUUUAGUUCUAUUUAAUUUUGUUCUUGUUCAAUUUGUCUUCAGUGUCUCAUUCUAUUUAGUUCUUUUUAGUUCUAUUUAGUUUUGUUCUUAUUGAAUUUGUCUUCAGUGUCUCAUUCUAUUUAGUUCUAUUUAGUUUUGUUCUUGUUCAGUUUGUCCUACCUUGUGAUGAAGUUUUAUGUUGCUAUAGAUUAGAAGGAUCUUGGACACUUGAGAUAAAC
rnacentral:lncRNA from 1 species